GAUGAACGCUGACAGAAUGCUUAACACAUGCAAGUCAACUGUGGCGGACGGGUGAGUAACGCGUAAAGAACUUGCCUCACAGUUAGGGACAACGUUUGGAAACGAAUGCUGAUACCUGAUACUGUGAGAGAGCUUUGCGUCCCCUUAGCUAGUUGGAGAGGUAACGGCUCACCAAGGCGAGGAUGGGUAGCCGGCCUGAGAGGGUGAUCGGGCACAAGGGUAUUGAGACACUGCCCGUACGCAUACGGGAGGCAGGAGUGGGGAAUAUUGGACAAUGUACCAAAGUGUGAUGCAGGAAUUCUGUGUGCACGAUGAAGUUUUCGGAAUGUAAAGUGCUUUGAGUUGGGAAGCGGUACCAACAGAAGAAGUAACGGCUAAAUACGUGCCAGCAGCCGCGGUAAUAC
rnacentral:rRNA from 1 species